CAAAAUUAAUUAUAAAACUAAAAAUAAAUAAAUAAUUUUUUUUUUCUCACAGCUUAAACAAAUCAGAAAAAAAACCCUCUCAGCAUCUAGUGAUAUUGAAGAGCCAGACCAGAAAAAUCCCCAUCUUGAAGAAAAGGAAGAACACUGAAAAGCUCAGAUUAGGGAAGCCAAAAGGGAGAACAAAUCCAAAUCCUGCAACCAAUAUGUUGUGCGACAGCAUUCCCACUCCCCAUAUGCAAGAACAAAAGCAGACCAAGGAAGCAGAAGAAAACAAAACAACUACUCUGCAUAGAGAUAAUACCGAUCUUCUUCUAUAAGUUGAUAAAUCUGCCCCGGGCCAUCCUCCACCCAAAAGGAGAGAGAUCAAACUAGUUAGACAAGGCCUUUUUAAUCACGGUAAGAGAAUCCCCUUCCACAACCAUCUUAUCAAGUCUCAAAUGUCGAGCAAAAGCCAUGGAUUGAAGACAGGCCAACGCCUCUUCAGCAAAUGGAGUGGAGACAUUAACAUUAAGGACGACACAUGUACCAAAAACAGGUCCUUUCCCAUUUCUUAUUACAGACCCAGUAUUGGAUCUGUUGGUAUUUUUUACAAAAACUUGCAUCAAAAUUGACCUUCAGGAUAGGACCUUUAGGGGGUUUCCAUCAAUUCAAUGUUUUUCCAUAGGAGGAUCCAUCCUGCUCUGAUGCAUCGAGAGUUCCAAUUAGUACCCCUUGAGAAAAGUAACCAAUUCAUCCACAAUCUGUCUUUUUCCUUCAUGUAAGAGUUUAUUUCGAGAGAACCAUAAUGCUAAUGUUGUAAUUACAAAUUAUGUUCUUUUGCCUCCCGUAUAA